rnacentral:ncRNA from 1 species
CAUUGUCUCUAAAACACACUCAUGGUAAGAGUGACAACUGGCUUGUGGCAGCCAGGCAUUCAUAGUGCCUUUUGAUCCUUCGAUGUCGGCUCUUUCUAUCAUACUGAAGCAGAGUUCAGUAAGCGUUGGGUUGUGUCAUCCACUAAUAAGGAGCAAGACCUGGCGUUUAGACCGUCGUGAGACAGGUUAGCAUCACCCUACUGAUGAAAUGCUGUUGCAAUAAUAUUUGAAACUUAGUACGAGGGGAUUCAUUCGGAUAAUUAGUAUUUGGGCCUGCCUGAGCAGGCAAUGGCCCGAAGUCCUCAUCCAUUUGGAUUAUUCCUGGAUACCUCCAAGUCGAAACCCGUGCUAGAACGCGACAAUUACCGCCUUUUCCGAUUUUUAAUUGGUUACGAAUAGAUCUUCGGAUCCUGAGUCAUGCUACAAGGGGUUGAUCUUGCAGAGUGGAAAGGCUUUGUGAGGUUCCUGCUAGUGUUAAUUUCAAAAACAGGGUUGCAGCUCAGAGAGAAAAUCGGGACUGAGUUGAGGUCGUUGAUACCGACCCAGUUGU